UACAGAGGGGGCAAGCGUUGUUCGGAAUUACUGGGCGUAAAGGGCGCGUAGGCGGCCUGUUAAGUCGAACGUGAAAUCCCCGGGCUCAACCCGGGAACUGCGUCCGAUACUGGCAGGCUUGAAUUCGGGAGAGGGAUGUGGAAUUCCCGGUGUAGCGGUGAAAUGCGCAGAUAUCGGGAGGAACACCAACGGCGAAGGCAGCACUCUGGGCUGGAACUGACGCUGAGGAGCGAAAGCGUGGGUAGCAAACAGG
rnacentral:rRNA from 1 species